rnacentral:rRNA from 1 species
CCUACGGGGGGCAGCAGUGGGGAAUAUUGCACAAUGGGCGGAAGCCUGAUGCAGCGACGCCGCGUGAGGGAUGAAGGCCUUCGGGUUGUAAACCUCUUUCAGCAGGGACGAAGCGUGAGUGACGGUACCUGCAGAAGAAGCACCGGCUAACUACGUGCCAGCAGCCGCGGUAAUACGUAGGGUGCGAGCGUUGUCCGGAAUUACUGGGCGUAAAGAGUUCGUAGGCGGUUUGUCGCGUCGUUUGUGAAAACCCGGGGCUCAACUUCGGGCUUGCAGGCGAUACGGGCAGACUUGAGUGUUUCAGGGGAGACUGGAAUUCCUGGUGUAGCGGUGAAAUGCGCAGAUAUCAGGAGGAACACCGGUGGCGAAGGCGGGUCUCUGGGAAACAACUGACGCUGAGGAACGAAAGCG